rnacentral:rRNA from 1 species
AUUGAACGCUGGCGGCAUGUCUUACACAUGCAAGUCGAACGGCAGCACGGGGGCAACCCUGGUGGCGAGUGGCGAACGGGUGAGUAAUGCAUAGGAACGUGCCCAGUAGUGGGGGAUAACCCGGCGAAAGCCGCGCUAAUACCGCAUACGACCUACGGGUGCAAGCGGGGGACCGUAAGGCCUCGCGCUAUUGGACCGGCCGCUGUCUGAUUAGCUAGGUGGCGGGGUAAAGGACGACCAAGGCGACGAUCAGUAGCUGGUCUGAGAGGACGACCAGCCAAACUGGGACUGAGACACGGCCCAGACUCCUACGGGAGGCAGCAGUGGGGAAUUUUGGACAAUGGGCGCAAGCCUGAUCCAGCCAUGCCGCGUGCGGGAAGAAGGCCUUCGGGUUGUAAACCGCUUUUGGCAGGAACGAAACGGCGCAAGCUAAUACCUUGCGCUAAUGACGGUACCUGCAGAAUAAGCACCGGCUAACUACGUGCCAGCCGCCGCCGUAAUAC